GAUCAAAAUAAGCAGAAAAAAAGUAUCGCGGACAUAAUUUAUCAUAACUCUGGUUUUAUUUGGCUAAUCAACACAAUUUAAAAACUGGUAUAUAGGUUGAGGUCCUCACUUUUGAGAUAAGUUGAAACGGAGAGUCAACGAGGCUCCGUCUUGCAGCUACAUCCGAUUAAAUAUGUCAUGUGACUUGAACGCACACACAGACACACACACGCACACACACACACACACACACACACACACACACUCACACUCAGAGUCUGGUUUUUAGCACCUGCAAAAACAUGCUAUUUACAUAUUUGACAAGAAUGCAGAGGCUCCUUUUGCCCCUGAAAAAAAUCAAAUUUCAAACACAACUUGACUGGUCAUUUCUCCAAAAGACAACCAUGAAGCUCCAUCCAAACCUGAAGCAGGCAGUUGGUGCAUGUGUACAGUAACCUGAGGGGAGUGAGGUGACUGCUUCUGAGGAGAACAUGAGCAGUCAAGAUUCACCUUGGAGCUAGAACAGAGACAUGCACAUGAUUAUACAGGGGCAGGGGCUCAAGUUUUUUCCAGUCGUUUAUACAAUAUGGAAAUUAAUGUGAAAUUAAAACACAAAGUAUUGAUAGAAAGGUAAUGACUGUCCUGUGUAGGUGACAGUGAUAUCCAAUAGGCUAGGCACUCACGAGGCUGGCUGUGGCAAGUGUAAGUGAAAGCAACACGCACUGGCAGGAAGAACAGCAAACGCCGAUGAAGGAAAAGGGUCUUUGCAGUGAUGGGCGUUACCAGAGAGGGCGAUGGCCAGAGGACACAAAUGGGACGGGGAGGCAGCACGUUGGGGGGGGGGGGGGGGGACGCGACACGGCUCGGGCCCGCCAGUGCCCCAACGGGGUCCUAGUUCUUCUUUUUCCUCCCCUUUGAACUGGAAAAUGGCCCACUUCCCACUGGCGAAAACUCAGGAAAUUUGGCAGGACGACCGGGCCUGGUGAAAAAUUUGAUAUUCUGAAGUCGCCAAAACAAUAAAAUGCAAAAUGGCUCCAUAGCGCCCCCUAAGGUGGAAAUUCACACUAUUGACUGUCACGCCUGUACGCUUUGUCAUAUUGACACAAAAAUUGACACACACAUGUAUCUCAAUAAGAUCUACAAAAAAGUCAGUGCGGGCGUAUCUGUCAAAAUUACGGUUAAAGGGUUAUUUCGCAUUUUUUGCCGAUCCGCACACAUUGGAUUUUCGCUAACUCCUCCGAAGGCUUUCGUUCCACCGGCACCACAUUUGCUCAGGCCAAUCUACACCCCGUGGCCAUUAAAAGUUAUCAAAAUCAUGACGCUGCACCCCAAGGUUUAGGUUCUAGGGGGCGCCAAAGAUAACACUAAAAUCCACAUAUUUAAAAGUCUUAUAACUUUUUAUUUUUGUCCUCACUGGCCUCCAAGUUUUCUAGGAUGAUGCAAUGUCCAGCCAUCAACACAUUUGUGAAGGAAUUUUUACUCCCCAAAAGAGCGCCCCCCCAUGGCAGGAGAAAAAAGUCCAUUUUUUCUUGUCCCCUAAGGUGAAAAUACACAUUGUUGAGUGUCACGCCUAUACGCUUUGUCAAAAUGACACAAAAAUUGACACACACAUGUAACUCAAUAAGAUCUACGAAAAAGUCAAUGCGCGCGUAUCUGUCAAAUGUACGGUUAAAGGGUUAUUCCGCAUUUUUUGCCGAUGCGCACACAUUGGAAUAUGGCUAACUCCUCCUAAGGCUUUCGUUCCACCGGCACCACAUUUGCUCAGGCCAAUCUACACCCCAUGGCCAUUAAAAGUUAUUCAAAUCAUGACGCUGCACCCCACGGUUUAGGUUCUAGGGGGCGCCAAAGACAACCCUAAAAUCCACAUAUUUAAAAGUCUUAUAACUUUUUAUUUUUGUCCUCACUGGCCUCCAAGUUUUCUAGGAUGAUGCAAUGUCCAGCCAUCAACACAUUUGUGAAGGAAUUUUUACUCCCCAAAAGAGCGCCCCCCCAUGGCAGGAGAAAAAAGUCCAUUUUUUCUUGUCCCCUAAGGUGAAAAUACAUAUUGUUGAGAUUCACGCCUAUAUGCUUUGUCAUAAUGACACAAAAUUUGACAAUCACGUGCCUUGCCUGGUAUCAUUUUUUUUCAGCACAACCUCACCUGUGCGAAUUUACAGUUAUUUUAUCAUGUUGACAUACUGAAUUUACACAAUGGACCCAAAUUCACACACAAAACAUAAAAUCCGAGUGGAAAAAAGUAACAUUUUUACUGUGAAAACCACAAAUAUGUGUGAUGAACUGUUUUUAAAACUUAAACUUCAAAAAAAAAUUGUAAACUUCAAAACAUAUGCAAAUUUUUAACAAAGAACAUAGUGAUUUACCUCUAUUUACAUCAAAAUGCAGGCAAUGGCCCAGGCGUUCUUUGUAAAAUUAUUUACAAAACACUGUAUAGUCUCACAAAUGUCACUUUUUAUUUAUGCCACUACAAAAAAACAUGAUGUAAAUGAUGCAUGAUGUAAAACAUGAUGUAAAAAACUUGUGUAGAUCCUCCUCUAUGUCAGUCCAUGUGUAAUUUUUCCAUAAUUCUUUGUUUUUUGCAGCAUUUUUGUUAGUGUAACUGCAGAUUGUGCUGACAGUGUCUAGGGCACAAAAAAAAAAAAAAAUUAAAAUGCCUCAACAUGAACCCCUGGUGGUCUCUGAGGGUGAAACCUGCUAACUGCUGCAGCUCUGUCAGCUUCAGUCUCCCAUGCAGAGCUCUGAGCGCAUGUGUGGCUCUGCACCCUUAGCAGCGUUGCUAACUCCUCAGUAAGGAAAGCCUGCUUCAUGUCAGAGUCUCUAAACUCCAGAAGAAGUCGAUAAAAGUCCCUUUCUUUCUAAAAAAAAGUCGUUAGGGGGUCUGAAAAGUCAUUGAAUCUAACAACAAAGUCGCUAGGUUUGCAACUACGUGUCCCAGACUGCAUCCCUGCUGAGAGUCCCUCCCUCCCUUCUCAUGUUGCAGGAAGAACAUAAGCGCCCUCCCCUUGUCAAUCAGUCACCAUAUAAUUUUGGAUUGGUUGUUGUGGUGAAGUUUUCCACCAAUAGGAGAGAUGUUGUGGUGUGUUUUUUUUUUCUUUUGGCAAGCCUUUUCCGCCUGUAAGACCUGUCGCUAAUGUCUGCAUGCUAUGUUUUCCUGUCUCAUACAGCGCGAUCGAGCGCCGAACGUGAUCAAAAUAAGCAGAAGAAAAGUAUCGCGGACAUAAUUUAUCAUAACUCUGGUUUUAUUUGGCCUAUCAACACAAUUUAAAAACUGGUAUAUAGGUUGAGGUCCUCACUUUUGAGAUAAGUUGAAACGGAGAGUCAACGAGGCUCCGUCUUGCAGCUACAUCCGGUUAAAUAUGUCAUGUGACUUGAACGCACACACAGACACACACACACGCACACACACACACACACACACACACACACACACACACACACACACACACACACUCAGAGUCUGGUUUUUAGCACCUGCAAAAACAUGCUAUUUACAUAUUUGACAAGAAUGCAGAGGCUCCUUUUGCCCCUGAAAAAAAAAUCAAAUUUCAAACACAACUUGACUGGUCAUUUCUCCAAAAGACAACCAUGAAGCUCCAUCCAAACCUGGCAUCCAUCCAAACCUUUGCCGAUCCGCACACAUUGGAAUUUCGCUAACUCCUCCGAAGGCUUUCGUUCCACCGGCACCACAUUUGCUCAGGCCAAUCUACACCCCAUGGCCAUUAAAAGUUAUUCAAAUCAUGACGCUGCACCCCACGGUUUAGGUUCUAGGGGGAGCCAAAGAUAACCGUAAAAUCCACAUAUUUAAAAGUCUUAUAACUUUUUAUUUUUGUCCCCACUGGCCUCCAAGUUUUCUAGGAUGAUGCAAUGUCCAGCCAUCAACACAUUUGUGAAGGAAUUUUUACUCGGCAAAAGAGCGCCCCCCAUGGCAGGAGAAAAAAGUCAAUUUUUUCUUGUCCACUAAGGUGAAAAUACACAUUGUUGAGUGCUACGCCUGUAUGUUUUGUCGUAUUGACAAAAAAUUUUACAUACACGUGUAUUUACAUAAGAUCUUCGAAAAAGUCAAUGGCCACGUAUCUGUAAAAUGUACGGUUAAAGGGUUAUUUCGCAUUUUUUGCAGAUUCGCACACAUUGGAAUUUCGCUAAUUCCUCCGAAGGCUUUCGUUCCACCGGCACCACAUUUGCUCAGGCCAAUCUACACCCCAUGGCCAUUAAAAGUUAUUCAAAUCAUGACGCUGCACCCCACGGUUUAGGUUCUAGGGCGCGCCAAAUAUAACCCUAAAAUCCACAUAUUUAAAAGUCUUAUAACUUUUUAUUUUUGUCCUCACUGGCCUCCAUGUUUUCUAGGAUGAUGCAAUGUCCAGCCAUCAACACAUUUGUGAAGGAGUUUUUUCUCUUUAAAAGAGCGCCCCCCCAUGGCAGGAGAAUAAAGUCAAGUUUUUCCUGUUCAUCAUUCAAUGGCUCAAACGCACUGCUCUCUCGGCAAAAGCGAAAGGAGGAGCAACUUGCCAUUUGGAUAUAUCUUAGCUGUGUUUGUGCCCUCACUCAUGGUCCAGACUUUUUUCAAAUAGGACAUGGAGUUUUUCUGCAGCGAGCGUUUUGGUAGAAACUGCGCCUCCCGUUCAUUAUAAUGGUAAAUGACCACAAACAAGUGCGCACACCAUCUUUGGACCUUGAGUGUGACGCGAUCGGGUGGGGGAGGCGGUCGCGCUGGGGGCGGCGUGACACGGCUCGGGCCCGCCAGUGCCCCAACGGGGCCCUAGUUAUUAUUUUUCCUCCGCUUUAAACUGGAAAAUGGCCCACUUCCCACUGGCGAAAACUCAUGAAAUUUGGCAGGACGACCGGGCCUGGUGAAAAAUUCGAUAUUCUGAAGUCGCCCAAACAAGAAAAUGCAAAAUGGCUCCAUAGCGCCCCCUAAGGUGAAAAUUCACACUAUUGACUGUCACGCCUGUACGCUUUGUCAUAUUGACACAAAAAUUGACACACACAUGUAUCUCAAUAAGAUCUACAAAAAAGUCAGUGCGGGCGUAUCUGUCAAAUGUACGGUUAAAGGGUUAUUUUGCAUUUUUUGCAGAUCCGCACACAUUGGAAUUUCGCUAACUCCUCCGAAGGCUUUCGUUCCACCGGCACCACAUUUGCUCAGGCCAAUCUACACUCCAUGGCCAUUCAAAGUUGUACAAAUCAUAAUGCUGCACCCCAUGGUUUAGGUUCUAGGGGGCGCCAAAAAUAACCCAAAAAUCCACAUUCUUAAAAGUUUUAUAAUUUUUUUUUUUUGUCCUCACUGGCCUCCAAGUUUUCUAGGAUGAUGCAAUGUCCAGCCAUCAACACAUUUGUGAAGGAAUUUUUACUCCCCAAAAGAGCGCCCCCCCAUGGCAGGAAUAAAAAGUCCAUUUUUUCUUGUCCCCUAAGGUGAAAAUACACAUUGUUGAGUGUCACGCCUGUACGCUUUGUCGUAUUGACAAAAAAUUUGACACACACGUGUAUCUCAAUAAGAUCUACGAAAAAGUCAAUGGGCGCGUAUCUGUAAAAUGUACGGCUAAAGGGCUAUUUUGCAUUUUUUGCCGAUUCGCACACAUUGGAAUGUGGCUAACUCCUCCUAAGGCUUUCGUCCCACUGACACCAAAUUUGCUCAGGCCAAUCUACACCCCAUGGCCAUUCAAAGUUGUAAAAAUCAUGCCGCUGCACCCCAUGGUUUACGUUCUAGGGGGCGCCAAAGAUGACCCAAAUAUCCACAUUCUUAAAAGUCGUUUUGGCCACUGCAGGAGUACAGAGUACUGCAGGAUACACACACACAGACACACACACACACAGACACACACACACACACACACACACACACACACACACACACACACACUCAGAGUCUGUUUUUUAGCACCUGCAAAAACAUGCUAUUUACAUAUUUGACAACAAUGCAGAGGCUUCCUUUUGCCCCUGAAAAAAAUCAAAUUUCUAACACAACUUGACUGCUCAUUUCUCCAAAAGACAACCAUGAAGCUCCAUCCAAACCUGAAGCAGGCAGUUGGUGCAUGUGUACAGUAACCUGAGGGGAGUGAGGUGACUGCUUCUGAGGAGAACAUGAGCAGUGAAGAUUCACCUUGGAGCGAGAACAGGGACGUGCACAUGAUUAUACGGGGGCAGGGGCUCAAGUUUUUUCCAGUCGUUUAUACAAUAUGGAAAUUAAUGUGAAAUUAAAAAACAAAGUAUUAAUAGAAAGGUAAUGACUGUCCUGUGUAGGUGACAGUGAUAUCCAAUAGGCUAGGCACUCACAAGGCUGGCUGUGGCAAGUGUAAGUGAAAGCAACACGCACUGGCAGGAAGAACAGCAAACGCCGAUGAAGGAAAAGGGUCUUUGCAGUGAUGGGCGUUACCAGAGAGGACGAUGGCCAGAGGACGCGAAUGGGACGGGGAGGCAGCGCGUUGGGGGGGGGGGGGCGACACAGCUCGGGCCCGCCAGUGCCCCAACGGGGCCCUAGUUCUUCUUUUUCCUCCCCUUUGAACUGGAAAAUGGCCCACUUCCCACUGGCGAAAACUCAGGAAAUUUGGCAGGACGACCGGGCCUGGUGAAAAAUUUGAUAUUCUGAAGUCGCCAAAACAAUAAAAUGCAAAAUGGCUCCAUAGCGCCCCCUAAGGUGGAAAUUCACACUAUUGACUGUCACGCCUGUACGCUUUGUCAUAUUGACACAAAAAUUGACACACACAUGUAUCUCAAUAAGAUCUACAAAAAAGUCAGUGCGGGCGUAUCUGUCAAAAUUACGGUUAAAGGGUUAUUUCGCAUUUUUUGCCGAUCCGCACACAUUGGAUUUUCGCUAACUCCUCCGAAGGCUUUCGUUCCACCGGCACCACAUUUGCUCAGGCCAAUCUACACCCCGUGGCCAUUAAAAGUUAUCAAAAUCAUGACGCUGCACCCCAAGGUUUAGGUUCUAGGGGGCGCCAAAGAUAACACUAAAAUCCACAUAUUUAAAAGUCUUAUAACUUUUUAUUUUUGUCCUCACUGGCCUCCAAGUUUUCUAGGAUGAUGCAAUGUCCAGCCAUCAACACAUUUGUGAAGGAAUUUUUACUCCCCAAAAGAGCGCCCCCCCAUGGCAGGAGAAAAAAGUCCAUUUUUUCUUGUCCCCUAAGGUGAAAAUACACAUUGUUGAGUGUCACGCCUAUACGCUUUGUCAAAAUGACACAAAAAUUGACACACACAUGUAACUCAAUAAGAUCUACGAAAAAGUCAAUGCGCGCGUAUCUGUCAAAUGUACGGUUAAAGGGUUAUUCCGCAUUUUUUGCCGAUGCGCACACAUUGGAAUAUGGCUAACUCCUCCUAAGGCUUUCGUUCCACCGGCACCACAUUUGCUCAGGCCAAUCUACACCCCAUGGCCAUUAAAAGUUAUUCAAAUCAUGACGCUGCACCCCACGGUUUAGGUUCUAGGGGGCGCCAAAGACAACCCUAAAAUCCACAUAUUUAAAAGUCUUAUAACUUUUUAUUUUUGUCCUCACUGGCCUCCAAGUUUUCUAGGAUGAUGCAAUGUCCAGCCAUCAACACAUUUGUGAAGGAAUUUUUACUCCCCAAAAGAGCGCCCCCCAUGGCAGGAGAAAAAAGUCCAUUUUUUCUUGUCCCCUAAGGUGAAAAUACAUAUUGUUGAGAUUCACGCCUAUAUGCUUUGUCAUAAUGACACAAAAUUUGACAAUCACGUGCCUUGCCUGGUAUCAUUUUUUUUCAGCACAACCUCACCUGUGCGAAUUUACAGUUAUUUUAUCAUGUUGACAUACUGAAUUUACACAAUGGACCCAAAUUCACACACAAAACAUAAAAUCCGAGUGGAAAAAAGUAACAUUUUUACUGUGAAAACCACAAAUAUGUGUGAUGAACUGUUUUUAAAACUUAAACUUCAAAAAAAAAUUGUAAACUUCAAAACAUAUGCAAAUUUUUAACAAAGAACAUAGUGAUUUACCUCUAUUUACAUCAAAAUGCAGGCAAUGGCCCAGGCGUUCUUUGUAAAAUUAUUUACAAAACACUGUAUAGUCUCACAAAUGUCACUUUUUAUUUAUGCCACUACAAAAAAACAUGAUGUAAAUGAUGCAUGAUGUAAAACAUGAUGUAAAAAACUUGUGUAGAUCCUCCUCUAUGUCAGUCCAUGUGUAAUUUUUCCAUAAUUCUUUGUUUUUUGCAGCAUUUUUGUUAGUGUAACUGCAGAUUGUGCUGACAGUGUCUAGGGCACAAAAAAAAAAAAAAAUUAAAAUGCCUCAACAUGAACCCCUGGUGGUCUCUGAGGGUGAAACCUGCUAACUGCUGCAGCUCUGUCAGCUUCAGUCUCCCAUGCAGAGCUCUGAGCGCAUGUGUGGCUCUGCACCCUUAGCAGCGUUGCUAACUCCUCAGUAAGGAAAGCCUGCUUCAUGUCAGAGUCUCUAAACUCCAGAAGAAGUCGAUAAAAGUCCCUUUCUUUCUAAAAAAAAGUCGUUAGGGGGUCUGAAAAGUCAUUGAAUCUAACAACAAAGUCGCUAGGUUUGCAACUACGUGUCCCAGACUGCAUCCCUGCUGAGAGUCCCUCCCUCCCUUCUCAUGUUGCAGGAAGAACAUAAGCGCCCUCCCCUUGUCAAUCAGUCACCAUAUAAUUUUGGAUUGGUUGUUGUGGUGAAGUUUUCCACCAAUAGGAGAGAUGUUGUGGUGUGUUUUUUUUUUCUUUUGGCAAGCCUUUUCCGCCUGUAAGACCUGUCGCUAAUGUCUGCAUGCUAUGUUUUCCUGUCUCAUACAGCGCGAUCGAGCGCCGAACGUGAUCAAAAUAAGCAGAAGAAAAGUAUCGCGGACAUAAUUUAUCAUAACUCUGGUUUUAUUUGGCCUAUCAACACAAUUUAAAAACUGGUAUAUAGGUUGAGGUCCUCACUUUUGAGAUAAGUUGAAACGGAGAGUCAACGAGGCUCCGUCUUGCAGCUACAUCCGGUUAAAUAUGUCAUGUGACUUGAACGCACACACAGACACACACACACGCACACACACACACACACACACACACACACACACACACACACACACACUCAGAGUCUGGUUUUUAGCACCUGCAAAAACAUGCUAUUUACAUAUUUGACAAGAAUGCAGAGGCUCCUUUUGCCCCUGAAAAAAAAAUCAAAUUUCAAACACAACUUGACUGGUCAUUUCUCCAAAAGACAACCAUGAAGCUCCAUCCAAACCUGGCAUCCAUCCAAACCUUUGCCGAUCCGCACACAUUGGAAUUUCGCUAACUCCUCCGAAGGCUUUCGUUCCACCGGCACCACAUUUGCUCAGGCCAAUCUACACCCCAUGGCCAUUAAAAGUUAUUCAAAUCAUGACGCUGCACCCCACGGUUUAGGUUCUAGGGGGAGCCAAAGAUAACCGUAAAAUCCACAUAUUUAAAAGUCUUAUAACUUUUUAUUUUUGUCCCCACUGGCCUCCAAGUUUUCUAGGAUGAUGCAAUGUCCAGCCAUCAACACAUUUGUGAAGGAAUUUUUACUCGGCAAAAGAGCGCCCCCCAUGGCAGGAGAAAAAAGUCAAUUUUUUCUUGUCCACUAAGGUGAAAAUACACAUUGUUGAGUGCUACGCCUGUAUGUUUUGUCGUAUUGACAAAAAAUUUUACAUACACGUGUAUUUACAUAAGAUCUUCGAAAAAGUCAAUGGCCACGUAUCUGUAAAAUGUACGGUUAAAGGGUUAUUUCGCAUUUUUUGCAGAUUCGCACACAUUGGAAUUUCGCUAAUUCCUCCGAAGGCUUUCGUUCCACCGGCACCACAUUUGCUCAGGCCAAUCUACACCCCAUGGCCAUUAAAAGUUAUUCAAAUCAUGACGCUGCACCCCACGGUUUAGGUUCUAGGGCGCGCCAAAUAUAACCCUAAAAUCCACAUAUUUAAAAGUCUUAUAACUUUUUAUUUUUGUCCUCACUGGCCUCCAUGUUUUCUAGGAUGAUGCAAUGUCCAGCCAUCAACACAUUUGUGAAGGAGUUUUUUCUCUUUAAAAGAGCGCCCCCCCAUGGCAGGAGAAUAAAGUCAAGUUUUUCCUGUUCAUCAUUCAAUGGCUCAAACGCACUGCUCUCUCGGCAAAAGCGAAAGGAGGAGCAACUUGCCAUUUGGAUAUAUCUUAGCUGUGUUUGUGCCCUCACUCAUGGUCCAGACUUUUUUCAAAUAGGACAUGGAGUUUUUCUGCAGCGAGCGUUUUGGUAGAAACUGCGCCUCCCGUUCAUUAUAAUGGUAAAUGACCACAAACAAGUGCGCACACCAUCUUUGGACCUUGAGUGUGACGCGAUCGGGUGGGGGAGGCGGUCGCGCUGGGGGCGGCGUGACACGGCUCGGGCCCGCCAGUGCCCCAACGGGGCCCUAGUUAUUAUUUUUCCUCCGCUUUAAACUGGAAAAUGGCCCACUUCCCACUGGCGAAAACUCAUGAAAUUUGGCAGGACGACCGGGCCUGGUGAAAAAUUCGAUAUUCUGAAGUCGCCCAAACAAGAAAAUGCAAAAUGGCUCCAUAGCGCCCCCUAAGGUGAAAAUUCACACUAUUGACUGUCACGCCUGUACGCUUUGUCAUAUUGACACAAAAAUUGACACACACAUGUAUCUCAAUAAGAUCUACAAAAAAGUCAGUGCGGGCGUAUCUGUCAAAUGUACGGUUAAAGGGUUAUUUUGCAUUUUUUGCAGAUCCGCACACAUUGGAAUUUCGCUAACUCCUCCGAAGGCUUUCGUUCCACCGGCACCACAUUUGCUCAGGCCAAUCUACACUCCAUGGCCAUUCAAAGUUGUACAAAUCAUAAUGCUGCACCCCAUGGUUUAGGUUCUAGGGGGCGCCAAAAAUAACCCAAAAAUCCACAUUCUUAAAAGUUUUAUAAUUUUUUUUUUUUGUCCUCACUGGCCUCCAAGUUUUCUAGGAUGAUGCAAUGUCCAGCCAUCAACACAUUUGUGAAGGAAUUUUUACUCCCCAAAAGAGCGCCCCCCCAUGGCAGGAAUAAAAAGUCCAUUUUUUCUUGUCCCCUAAGGUGAAAAUACACAUUGUUGAGUGUCACGCCUGUACGCUUUGUCGUAUUGACAAAAAAUUUGACACACACGUGUAUCUCAAUAAGAUCUACGAAAAAGUCAAUGGGCGCGUAUCUGUAAAAUGUACGGCUAAAGGGCUAUUUUGCAUUUUUUGCCGAUUCGCACACAUUGGAAUGUGGCUAACUCCUCCUAAGGCUUUCGUCCCACUGACACCAAAUUUGCUCAGGCCAAUCUACACCCCAUGGCCAUUCAAAGUUGUAAAAAUCAUGCCGCUGCACCCCAUGGUUUACGUUCUAGGGGGCGCCAAAGAUGACCCAAAUAUCCACAUUCUUAAAAGUCGUUUUGGCCACUGCAGGAGUACAGAGUACUGCAGGAUACACACACACAGACACACACACACACAGACACACACACACACACACACACACACACACACACACACACACACACACUCAGAGUCUGUUUUUUAGCACCUGCAAAAACAUGCUAUUUACAUAUUUGACAACAAUGCAGAGGCUUCCUUUUGCCCCUGAAAAAAAUCAAAUUUCUAACACAACUUGACUGCUCAUUUCUCCAAAAGACAACCAUGAAGCUCCAUCCAAACCUGAAGCAGGCAGUUGGUGCAUGUGUACAGUAACCUGAGGGGAGUGAGGUGACUGCUUCUGAGGAGAACAUGAGCAGUGAAGAUUCACCUUGGAGCGAGAACAGGGACGUGCACAUGAUUAUACGGGGGCAGGGGCUCAAGUUUUUUCCAGUCGUUUAUACAAUAUGGAAAUUAAUGUGAAAUUAAAAAACAAAGUAUUAAUAGAAAGGUAAUGACUGUCCUGUGUAGGUGACAGUGAUAUCCAAUAGGCUAGGCACUCACAAGGCUGGCUGUGGCAAGUGUAAGUGAAAGCAACACGCACUGGCAGGAAGAACAGCAAACGCCGAUGAAGGAAAAGGGUCUUUGCAGUGAUGGGCGUUACCAGAGAGGACGAUGGCCAGAGGACGCGAAUGGGACGGGGAGGCAGCGCGUUGGGGGGGGGGGGGGCGACACAGCUCGGGCCCGCCAGUGCCCCAACGGGGCCCUAGUCUUUCUUCUUCUUUAGGGCCCGAGCGUAGCUGCUAAGCAGCUGCGAGAGCCCUAUUAUUCCUGAUGGAUUCUUCUUUAGGGCCCGAGCGUAGCUGCUAAGCAGCUGCGAGAGCCCUCUUGUUCCUGCAUGUUUCCUUCUUUCGUUAUUAUUUUUCCUCCGCUUUAAACUGGAAAAUGGCCCACUUCCCACUGGCGAAAACUCAGGAAAUUUGGCAGGACGACCGGGCCUGGUGAAAAAUUCGAUAUUCUGAAGUCGCCCAAACAAUAAAAUGCAAAAUGGCUCCAUAGCGCCCCCUAAGGUGAAAAUUCACAUGACGGCUGUACGCUUUGUCAUAUUGACACAAAAAUUGACACACACAUGUAUCUCAAUAAGAUCUACAAAAAAGUCAGUGCGGGCGUAUCUGUCAAAUGUAUGGUUAAUGGGUUAUUUUGCAUUUUUUGCAGAUCUGCACACAUUGGAAUUUCGCUAACUCCUCCGAAGGCUUUCGUUCGACCGGCACCACAUUUGCGCAGGCCAAUCUACCCCCCAUGGCCAUUCAAAGUUGUACAAAUCAUGACGCUGCACCCCACGGUUUACGUUCUAGGGGGCGCCAAAGAUAACCCAAAAUCCACAUUCUUAAAAGUCUUAUAACUUUUUAUUUUUGUCCUCACUGCCCUCCAAGUUUUCUAGGAUGAUGCAAUGUCCAGCCAUCAACACAUUUGUGAAGGAAUUUUUACUCCCCAAAAGAGCGCCCCCCCAUGGCAGGAGAAAAAAGUCAAUUUUUUCUUGUCCCCUUACAUGAAAAUACACAUUGUUGAGUGUCACGCCUGAACGCUUUGUCAUAUUGACACAAAAAUUGACAAUCAUGUGUAUCUCAAUUAGAUCUAUGAAAAAGUCAAAAAGCGCGUAUCUGUAUAAUGUACGGUUAAAGGGCUAUUUCGCAUUUUUUGCCGAUUCGCACACAUUGGAAUGUGGCUAUCUCCUCCUAAGGCUUUCGUCCCACCGAUACCAAAUUUGCUCAGGGCAAUCUACACCCCAUGCCCAUUCAAAGUUGUAAAAAUCAUGACGCUGCACCCCACGGUUUACGUUCUAGGGGGCGCCAAAGAUGACCCAAAAAUCCACAUUCUUAAAAGUCUUUUUGGCCACUGCAGGAGUACAGAGUACUGCAGGAUACACACACAUACACACACACACACACACACACACACACACUCAGAGUCUGUUUUUUAGCACCUGCAAAAACAUGCUGUUUACAUAUUUGACAAGAAUGCAGAGGCUUCCUUUUGCCCCUGAAAAAAAUCAGAUUUCAAACACAACUUGACUGUUCAUUUCUCCAAAAGACAACCAUGAAGCUCCACCCAAACCUGAAGCAGAUAGUUGGUGCAUGUGUACAGUAACCUGAGGGGAGUGAGGUGACUAUUUCUGAGGAGAACAUGAGCAGUGAAGAUUCACCUUGGAGCUAGAACAGGGACGUGCACAUGAUUAUACAGGGGCAGGGGCUCAAGUUUUUUCCAGUCAUUUAUACAAUAUGGAAAUUAAUGUGAAAUUAAACCACAAAUAUGUGUGAUGAACUGUUUUUAAAACUUAAACUUCAAAUAAAAAUUGUAAACUUCAAAACAUAUGCAAAUUUUUAACAAAGAACAUAGUAAUUUACCUCUAUUUACAUCAAAAUGCAGGCAAUGGCCCAGGCGUUCUUUGUAAAAUUAUUUACAAAACACUGUAUAGUCUCACAAAUGUCACUUUUUAUUUAUGCCACUACAAAAAAACAUGAUGUAAAUGAUGCAUGAUGUAAAACAUGAUGUAAAAAACUUGUGUAGAUCCUCCUCUAUGUCAGUCCAUGUGUAAUUUUUCCAUAAUUCUUUGUUUUUUGCAGCAUUUUUGUUAGUGUAACUGCAGAUUGUGCUGACAGUCUAUGGCAAAAAUAACAAAAACUGAAAAUGCCUCAACAUGAACCCCUGGUGGUCUCUGAGGGUGAAACCUGCUAACUGCUGCAGCUCUGUCAGCUUCAGUCUCCCAUGCAGAGCUCCGAGCGCAUGUGUGGCUCUGCACCCUUAGCAGCGUUGCUAACUCCUCAGUAAGGAAAGCCUGCUUUAUGUCAGAGUCUCUAAACUCCAGAAGAAGUCGAUAAAAGUCCCUUUCUUUCUAAAAAAAAGUCGUUAGGGGGUCUGAAAAGUCAUUGAAUCUAACAACAAAGUCGCUAGUUUUGCAACUACGUGUCCCAGACUGCAUCCCUGCUGAGAGUCCCUCCCUCCCUUCUCAUGUUGCAGGAAGAACGUAAGCGCCCGCCCCUUGUCAUUCAGUCACCAUAUAAUUUUGGAUUGGUUGUUGUGGUGAAGUUUUCCACCAAUAGGAGAGAUGUUGUGGUGUGUUUUUUUUUUCUUUUGGCAAGCCUUUUCCGCCUGUAAGACCUGUCGCUAAUGUGUGCAUGCUAUGUUUUCCUGUCUCAUACAGCGCGAUCGAGCGCCGAACGUGAUCAAAAUAAGCAGAAAAAAAGUAUCGCGGACAUAAUUUAUCAUAACUGGUUUUAUUUGGCCUAUCAACACAAUUUAAAAACUGGUAUAUAGGUUGAGGUCCUCACUUUUGAGAUAAGUUGAAACGGAGAGUCAACGAGGCUCCGUCUUGCAGCUACAUCCGGUUAAAUAUGUCAUGUGACUUGAACGCUGGGGAGCGUCAAUCGAAUCGAAUCAAACCUAACUCUCA
rnacentral:lncRNA from 1 species